rnacentral:lncRNA from 1 species
GCAAGUGGAGCUCAGAAUGUGAUGGUCUUGCUGAGUGGAGGAAACAGAGAAGUUCAUGGCUGCUGAAAUGGAUGGGAUUCACAGGAAAAAGUUGUAUGAUUCCUGCCCACACUGGGGAGAGCAAUCUAUGGAGGCUACUGAGUUGAUUACUAAUGCCUUCCAGAAACACCCUCACAGAUAUACCCAGAAAUAGUGUUUAACCAGAUAUUUGGGCAUCCCCUGAUCCAAUCAAGUUUAUACAUAAAAUUAAUUAUCAGAGUACAGUAUAAAAAUUCACGAUACAUUUCAGAAGACAGUGAAGUAAAGAAAGGAGCAGCAAGAUGACCUCAGCAAAUUUCUGACUACAAGUACCCGCUGGAUAACUAGACACACCUGAUAUUCAUCAACAGCUUAUUCAGCAGUGGAUUCCACAUCAUAGAGGUGUUGAGCCCAAGAGCGUUUGUUAAUUCACUUCCUGCUCUAAUCUCCACCCCAAUGUCAAUUUCCCAGAGAAUGUAACCUGCAACACACUGCAAAAUCCCUCAAAGUUCAUAGUGGCUCAAGAAAAAGGACAAACAUGUUUCAAAUGCAAACAAGAAGAAAAGCUGUUGCAGCAAUCUGGAUACUCAAAGUGAACAGAUGAUGUACUCCAAGCUAAAGAUCUCAAUUUUGACCUCUUAUUUAUUGGACCAUAGUAUUAUAUACAAAUUACACGCAUAACUUAUAUACAUAUAUAUGUGUGUAUAUAUAUAUAUAUAAAUACACACGUAUAUAUAUAUAUGUUGACACAUACACUUACAUAUACAUAUAUGUCUGUGUAUAUAUUAUGUGUGUGUGUGUAUAUAUGUGUGUGUGUGUGUGUCUGUAUUAUUUUUAGGGUACCCAGCAAUUUUUUUUAAAAAACCAGAAUUUUAAGAUAUGCAGACACAGAAAUGACUGUCGUAAAGAGAGAUGGUUUCCCUCACAGGUUCCUAGAGACAGGAGACACUCCAUACCACAUAGGGCCACAUAGAAAAGCAUCAGGAUCAUUCAAGUAGCAGAGUAAAUGAGGGAAAACAGGUGCAAGAGCCUUUAUUUUAGUUUCUCUGAGAAGAAAUGGGUUAGGCAAGGUAACAAGCCUAGAAUUGGCUAGUUUGAAUAAUUUCAUUGGGCACUGAGCAUCCCUAGUUGUCUAAUACCUGGUCCUAGAAUGAUUAAGGAAGGAAGAUAGCAGCCCAGAGUGUAAGAGCCGAGUAAAAGUGGUAGCUGGGGCCAUGCACUGUGGAUUGGUUGGUUUGCAUAUGAAAAACACACUCACAGAGUCCCCAAGUUAUUAAAGUAUCAAAAAUACAGAAAGAGACACAAUUAAUAUAUACAUAUAUAUGUGUUUUGUAAUUUUUUACACGUUCUUUUUUUUCCGGACCACAUGGGACAUUUUUACAGUUAUGUUAUGUAUAAUCUGUUCUCAAUAAGUACUUUCAUUAUGUAUUAUUUAUUCAAACUCAUUCAAAGUGAAUCUCAAGAUGCUAUUUAUACAACCUAUCCUCCUCUUGGAAAAUAUACUUUUUAAAUCAAGAAGCUGUUCUUCUCAUUGUUACCCUUUGGCUUAUCUUCUUGACUUAUUUUAUAAUCAAUUACAGCACACAAGCUUAACUUACUUAAAAAGAUCAUAGUUAUAUAACAGUUCGUUCUUUUCCUACCAAUUUCUCUCAAAACACACAUCCUUUAUCCUCUUAACACAAGAGCAAGCAAACUUAUUUUCCUGAUUUGAAACUCCAAAGCACAUUUUAUUAUUUCAGCUGCUCACCUGUUUUCAAUUCCUCAAGAGUUUCACCAUAUAAACAAGUCACUACUUAGCCAGCUCUUUUUAUUCAAAUGCAAUAUUAACAUUGUAAUCUACAAACUAUAAAUCCUGACUCGGAAAAUAUAGGGACCAUCAAUAGUGGGUUGAUAUAUUCUAAUUUCCAAAAGAAGAACACUAACAUUAAAGAAGUCAUGUGCCCUGCAAAAUUUUUCUUUAAAAAUUAAGGAUAAAUAAUGGUAUCCCAAUAUAAAAGAGGAACUUUGUCACUAGCAAGCCAUCCCUACAAGAAAUACUAAAUAAAUAAAUUUCCUGAGGAUAAAAUGUUGAAAUAACAAGAAACUGAUCAGUAACUUGAAUCUAUAUGAAGAAAUGAAGAGCACCAGUAAGGAUAACUACACAGAUAAACAUACAAGACAACAUAAUGGAUGUUUUGGGUACAACUUAUUUAUCCUACUUGAUUUAAGAGACAAUUGAAUAAAGCAGCAAAUAUUAGUUUGUGUUCUUGGGCAUGUGCUAUGGCUUGGAUAUGGUUUAUUUGUCCAGACCAAAAGUCAUGUUGAAAAUUUGAUUCCCAACAUGGUGGUGCUGGCAGGUGGGGCCUACAGGAAGGUAUUUGGGUCAUAGGUAUGUAUCCCUUAGGAGUGGCUAUGUGCUGUUCUCCAGGUAGUGAGUGACUUCUUGCUCUCAUGAGACUGCAGUUGUUCUCACAGGAAUGGAUUAGUUCCUGAGAGAGUGGAUUGUUAUAAAGCCUGAGGACACCCCUCAGGUUUUCCCUCUUUGCAUGUUUUCAGUUCCCCUUUGACCUUCCCAGCCAUGUUUUUUUGCAACAUGAAAGCCCUGGCCAGAAGCCCUUGAACUUCUCGACCUGUAGAACUGUGAGCUAAAUAACUUUUUUUCCUUAAAAUUUAUCCAGUCUCAGAUUUUUUUUCUAGCAACACAAAAUAGACUAAGAGAGAAUGGAAAGUAUAAAGGUGUAAUUUGUAGGACUAUAUCAGCAAAAAGGAGGAGAGAGAAAAUAAUGUUAUAUGUAAGGGCAAAUUUCUUGAAUACUAUUGAAAUUAAUUUGCUAUUAAUCCAAACUAGAUCAUUAUAAAUUCAGCCGCAAAUUAUAAUCCUGGGAGAAACUACUAGAAACUGUCAAUUAUGGGUGUGUGUGUGUGUGUGUGUGUGUGUGUGUGUGUGUAUGAUAAAUAUAAUUGGCAAUGGAAUUAAAAUGGCACACUAGAGAAUAUCUAUAACAAAAGUGGGAAGUUAGGGAGAACAGAUGGAAAAAAACAACUUAUUACAUACAGAAAACAAAUAGCAAAAGGCGUGAUGGUCAGAG